CGAGUUAUCUGAACCUUCGGGGAACGAUAACGGCGUCGAGCGGCGGACGGGUGAGUAAUGCCUAGGAAAUUGCCCUGAUGUGGGGGAUAACCAUUGGAAACGAUGGCUAAUACCGCAUGAUGCCUACGGGCCAAAGAGGGGGACCUUCGGGCCUCUCGCGUCAGGAUAUGCCUAGGUGGGAUUAGCUAGUUGGUGAGGUAAGGGCUCACCAAGGCGACGAUCCCUAGCUGGUCUGAGAGGAUGAUCAGCCACACUGGAACUGAGACACGGUCCAGACUCCUACGGGAGGCAGCAGUGGGGAAUAUUGCACAAUGGGCGCAAGCCUGAUGCAGCCAUGCCGCGUGUGUGAAGAAGGCCUUCGGGUUGUAAAGUACUUUCAGUCGUGAGGAAGGUGGUGUCGUUAAUAGCUGCAUUAUUUGACGUUAGCGACAGAAGAAGCACCGGCUAACUCCGUGCCAGCAGCCGCGGUAAUACGGAGGGUGCGAGCGUUAAUCGGAAUUACUGGGCGUAAAGCGCAUGCAGGUGGUUUGUUAAGUCAGAUGUGAAAGCCCGGGGCUCAACCUCGGAAUAGCAUUUGAAACUGGCAGACUAGAGUACUGUAGAGGGGGGUAGAAUUUCAGGUGUAGCGGUGAAAUGCGUAGAGAUCUGAAGGAAUACCGGUGGCGAAGGCGGCCCCCUGGACAGAUACUGACACUCAGAUGCGAAAGCGUGGGGAGCAAACAGGAUUAGAUACCCUGGUAGUCCACGCCGUAAACGAUGUCUACUUGGAGGUUGUGGCCUUGAGCCGUGGCUUUCGGAGCUAACGCGUUAAGUAGACCGCCUGGGGAGUACGGUCGCAAGAUUAAAACUCAAUGAAUUUGACGGGGCCCGCACAAGCGGUGGAGCAUGUGGUUAAUUCGAUGCACCGCGAGACUACUACUCUUGACAUCAGAGACCUUCAGAGAUGAUGUGCUCCGGAGCUCUGAGACAGUGCUGCAUGGCUGUCGUCAGCUCGGUGUGAACUGGUGGUUAAGUCCGCAACGAGCCAGCUACUGAUGCAGGAUAGUCGAUCAGUAAC
rnacentral:rRNA from 1 species